rnacentral:rRNA from 1 species
CGGCGGACGGGUGAGUAAUGCCUAGGAAUCUGCCUGGUAUGGGGGACAACGUUUCGAAAGGAACGCUAAUACCGCAUACGUCCUACGGGAGAAAGCAGGGGACCUUCGGGCCUUGCGUUAUCAGAUGAGCCUAGGUCGGAUUAGCUAGUUGGUGAGGUAAUGGCUCACCAAGGCGACGAUCCGUAACUGGUCUGAGAGGAUGAUCAGUCACACUGGAACUGAGACACGGUCCAGACUCCUACGGGAGGCAGCAGUU